AACAGAAAAUCCUCUUUCUGCACUUGAAUGAAUAUGAUACUGAGAACGUGUUGCUAGAGAAUAAUAAAAGCACUACUUUUCCAUACUAGUUUUUCUUAUAUAUACAUUUACAACCCGUUCUAUCAAUAUAUUUUAAUUCUUUAUUGAACGCGGAGCAAUGAGAAGAUAUUUCUAAUUAAGGAAAACUGUUACUACCUCAGGCCAACCUAAUAUGCUAUUCUAUAUUAAGGAAUAGACUACGCGCGAAUUCAAAAAUUCUCUGAUAACGACUUUUAAAUAAUUUUAUGCAACAUAUUAAGGCACAUGAAAUUUGCCAAUUGCCUUCUUCAAGAAUGUCGCACGUUAUAAAAGUUAAGUUAAACAGUUUAGUUUC